CGUAAGCUCUUCGAGCUUUCUCCGCCAGAGAGAGUAGAGAAGGGGAGAAGCGACUCGUCGUAGAAGCUUCGCUUCCGGGACGAAGCCAAGCCUAAAAGAUCGACUUGGCGCGGGGGGCCAAGCAUUCUGAGCUGGAAGGAAGCAAGCGGAGGCAUUACGGGCCGACCACAAGAAGCAAAGCUUCGUAGACUCGACAAGUCGCUUAUAGAAUGCCUACUACUAAGUGAAGACUUUUGACUUCAUUUAAUAAGGGAAGGGGGCUUUGCUUAGGGAGCUUUAUAAGGCCGACCAUGCUGGCGGAGAAAGCUCGAAGAGCUUCCCUUCAUUCGCUUCGCGGGAGCCGCACAGCACAUAGCUGGAAGUCAGAGGGCCCAUACUACCUGCCUAACCCUUCGCUCCGAGGGACCGUAGAUCGGAAAGCGCCUUCUAAACCACCCCAUUCAUCCAAAAGAGAAGGGAAGGGGCCUAUGUAUUUUCAUAACCCCUGAAAAUUUUACCCUAUCUACACCCGGAGCCAAUCUCCUAUCGGUCCUGCCAUCACGCCGCAGAACGAGAGCUCGUGUGGAACCUCUAAUUUCUGGCGUAACAGCGGUGGAACGUAACAAAAAAAUAUUACGGUCGGGGCCGGAAGUACGGUAAACUCGGCCAAAAUAUGACACCCGAAGGCCCCGCCCCUUCUUCUUCAGUAAAGCCGACCUCUUUUUCGCCAGUGCUGACGCAGUGCGCACGUAGAUAAGGAAAGCAAAAUCCCAGUGGGGGGGGGGAGAGAAUGGGGGCCGGUCCCUUUCUUUUACGGCCUAAACUCCUAUUUGUCAGCCGUGGGGAACUACUGCUCGGUCGGGGGGAAGGGAAAGGCUUGGGCCUACCUAUCCCGAUAGGACCUCAUAAAGGAACGAGAGCUGUUGAGAGGUUCCAUAUUGCCGAGCCGAAGGGCAGCACUUCUGUACGUGAUCGUAGUAUAUCACGUCGUCUCGUCCCCGCUGCAUUGAAGAGUACCUAUGCACUAUGUUCCGGUUCACUGAUAAGGAAGAUAGAGUUGGGGUGGGGAUCUACGAUGUGAUACUCAAGUAUGACCCGGGGAGAUACAUGCUAACUAUGGGUAGGAAGCAGGAACCAUUAUGUAAAUAACUUCGGGGGGUUACAGAUCUCUUAUACUACCAUCGAUCGACAGAGCGGAACGACCAAAAAAAUAAGUGAAGUUAGAAAGCCGUAUGAUAGAUGGUAACUAUCUUGUACGGUUCGGGGGGUAAUCGGCGUACUCUGGUAGGGGGGGGGGGGAAUCUUUGGCUCUAUCGAACAUACAGGGAAUUGGAGGUAGCAUUC
rnacentral:misc_RNA from 1 species